GGACAUUUAGCUCAGCAGGCUAGAGCAACCGGCUCAUAACCGGUCGGUCCUGGGUUCAAGCCCUAGAAUGUCCA
rnacentral:tRNA from 1 species